rnacentral:rRNA from 1 species
UACGUAGGGUGCGAGCGUUAGUCGGAAUUACUGGGCGUAAAGCGUGCGCAGGCGGUUCGUUAAGUUCGAUGUGAAAGCCCCGGGCUCAACCUGGGAACUGCAUUGGAAACUGGCGAGCUUGAGUGCGGCAGAGGGGGGUGGAAUUCCGCGUGUAGCAGUGAAAUGCGUAGAGAUGCGGAGGAACACCGAUGGCGAAGGCGGCAUCCUGGACCGGUAUUGACGCUGAGGCGCGAAAGCUAGGGGAGCAAACGGG